rnacentral:rRNA from 1 species
AUGGAUCAGGAGCUGAUCGAGCACCUUGAGGCCAAAGUGAGUGCUGACAGCGCGAGAUCUCACCCUCUCAUCGAUUUGUUCAUACCAACCAUGGACAGCGAGCACGACAUAUGCUACACCCAUCCUGAGAAACUUUCAGGUAUCACACUGAGUGGCCUAAGCAAGCAUUUCUUCCAGCGCAACUCCAGGGCGUUCAAAAGGGGCACGUGGACGUGGCGCAAGAUACAAUUGGAGUGUGGCAUGCACGCGAUGUGGCACAAGACAGGCAAUACCUUGCCGGUGAUGGUCAACGACCGGCAGACGGGCAGCAAAAAGGUUCUGGUGAUGCACACCAACAAGAACUUCGACCAGCAGAGGACAAACUGGGUGAUGAACCAGUACCACCUCGGGGACCUGGAGCAAGAGAAGGAGCGGGAGCUAGUCCUCUGCAAGAUUUUCUACCAGACGAACACUAGGGCCAGGAGUAAAAAGAUUAUAAGUUAG